GAUGAACGCUGGCGGCGUGCCUAAUACAUGCAAGUCGAGCGAACGGACGAGAAGCUUGCUUUCCUGCUGUAAGCGGCGGACGGGGUAGUAACACGUGGAUAAACUACCUAUUAGACUGGGACGAACUCGGGAAACAGGAGCUAAUACCGGAUGAUAUAUUGAACCGGAUGGUUCAACAGUGAAAGACGGUGUUGCUGACACUGAUAGUAUGAUCCGCGCUGCAUUAGCUAGUUGGUAAGGUAGCGGCUUAGCAAGGCAACGAUGCAUAGCGGACACGAGAGGGAGAACGGCCACACGGGAACUGAGACACGGUCCAGACUCCUACGCGAGGAAGCAGUAGAGAAUCCUACGCGAUGGACGAGAGCCGGACGUAGCAACGCCGCGUGAGUGAUGAUGGUCUUCGGAUCGUAAAACUCUGUUAUUAGGGAGGAACAUAUGUGUAAGUAGCUGUGCACAUCUUGACGGUACCUAAGCAGAAAGCCCCGGCUAACUACGUG
rnacentral:rRNA from 1 species